rnacentral:lncRNA from 1 species
AAUUGCCCAGUUUAACGUCAUAUAUAUAUUUUGUCACAGUAAAAAAUGUUUUAAAAAUCUUAUAGAUUAUUUCGAUUUCUGGCAAUGGUAGUGUACCUAAAUGACUUGUGUGAGUAUAUAUUUAGAAAUUUAAAUAUAAAGACUAUGCCCAGGAUUGGGUCUUCAUUUUACCUGGGGGAAAAUGUCUUUACCUGAGGAGCCAAGUUCUCUCCAAGGGAUUCCGGCUAAGCCAGGUGAUGACCUAGGUGAUGUAACCUCCUCCCACCCGGUGACCGCCGGGGCAGUGGUAGCCGGAGCCCUCAUACCGAACGGUGGGCGCAGGUGACCUGGGGUCCUACGGGGUAUUACUUUAUCGUUUUUGUGAUGCUUCAGCUGUUUGAAGUUCAUUAAGCUGAACAUUUCGCAGAUGGGAAAGAACACCCCUCCGCUGGUGGGAAAGCUAACGCUGGGAUCUCUGACCGUGAGAAUCUCAUACUCCACCGACACAGCUAGCCCGAGGAGAGCCAUUGCGGAGGGCGCUUGGGACAGAGACCUCAGGCCCCUGGGCUCUAUUGAAAGCCGCGGAGACCUGAACCCAGGUAAAAAUCUCCCAGACUGCCGGGCACGGUGUAGAGAACAAUCAGAAACCUUCUAUACCACAAUGCCCAAAGCAGGGAAGACCACUGGAGCUUUGUCAUAUACACAUAUAAAAAUACAGUUCUC